GUGCUCACUUCGGCAGCACAUGUACUAAAACUGGACCAAUACCGAGAUUAGCAUAGCCUGUCCACAAAGAUGACAUGAAAAUUCGUAAGUGCUCCAUAUUAAA
ensembl:snRNA U6 U6 spliceosomal RNA